rnacentral:rRNA from 1 species
AAACAUUGCCUCCAGCCCACCUAUUGAAGGUAACUCUGCCCAGUGACACAUUUCAACGGCCGCGGUAUCCUGACCGUGCGAAGGUAGCACAAUAACGAGCCUCCUAAUUAGAGGAUAGAAUGAAUGAAUCAACGAAAAAGUUACUGUCUCAUAUUUACUACUUGAAAUUUAUCUAAUGGUGAAAAAGCCAGUAUCCAAAUUAAAGACAAGAAGACCCUACAAGCUUUUUCCAAAUCUAAUAUAACCAAUUAUAUUACCAUUUAGUUGGGGCGACUAAAAGAUCAAAACACUUUAAAUUACUAAGAGACAUAUCUCAAUCCACUUAUCCAAAAACACUCAAGCAAGCUACUGUAGGGAUAACAGGCUAAUACUUUCCAAGAGUACGCAUCAACGAAAGUGCUUGGCACCUCGAUGUUGGCUUAGGGUGUCUAUCUCGUGCAGAAAUGAGAAAAGAAGGUUUGUUCAACCAUUAAUCCCCUACGUGAU